CUUUAGGGCACAUACUUCUUUAUAUGCCCAUACUGAAUGAAAAUGCUAUGGAAUGUUAAGAAGUAUGUAACCUAAGG
rnacentral:pre_miRNA from 17 species